rnacentral:rRNA from 1 species
AGCGAACGCUGGCGGCAGGCUUAACACAUGCAAGUCGAGCGGGCAUCCUUGUGGUGUCAGCGGCAGACGGGUGAGUAACGCGUGGGAACGUGCCCUUCGGUUCGGAAUAACCCAGGGAAACUUGAGCUAAUACCGGAUACGUUCGAGAGCAGAAAGUUUUACUUGCCGAAGGAUCGGCCCGCGUCUGAUUAGCUAGUUGGUGAGGUUAUGGCUCACCAAGGCGACGAUCAGUAGCUGGUCUGAGAGGAUGAUCAGCCACACUGGGACUGAGACACGGCCCAGACUCCUACGGGAGGCAGCAGUGGGGAAUAUUGGACAAUGGGGGCAACCCUGAUCCAGCCAUGCCGCGUGAGUGAUGACGGCCUUAGGGUUGUAAAGCUCUUUUCUCCGGGACGAUAAUGACGGUACCGGAGGAAUAAGCCCCGGCUAACUUCGUG